GAUGAACGCUGGCGGCGUGCCUAAUACAUGCAAGUCGAGCGAGCAGACGAGGAGCUUGCUCCUCUGACGUUAGCGGCGGACGGGUGGGUAACACGUGGAUAACCUACCUAUAAGACUGGGAUAACUUCGGGAAACCGGAGCUAAUACCGUAUAACAUGUUGAACCGCAUGGUUCAACAGUGAAAGACGGUCUUGCUGUCACUUAUAGAUGGAUCCGCGCCGCAUUAGCUAGUUGGUAAGGUAACGGCUUACCAAGGCAACGAUGCGUAGCCGACCUGAGAGGGUGAUCGGCCACACUGGAACUGAGACACGGUCCAGACUCCUACGGGAGGCAGCAGUAGGGAAUCUUCCGCAAUGGGCGAAAGCCUGACGGAGCAACGCCGCGUGAGUGAAGAAGGUCUUCGGAUCGUAAAACUCUGUUAUUAGGGAAGAACAAAUGUGUAAGUAACUAUGCACGUCUUGACGGUACCUAAUCAGAAAGCCACGGCUAACUACGUG
rnacentral:rRNA from 1 species